rnacentral:lncRNA from 1 species
CAAUCAUGUUAUCUUAGACGGUCUGGAAAGAGGCGGAGCUCUGUCUAUAUUUAAUUACUACAUCAAGGAUGUUGGUCAAAUCUGUGACGUCAAACUCCCGCCAAAUGCCAAGUUAGUGUUGGACAGUUCAAAUAUAAUGCAAAAUUUACAGCAUUAGAGCAUCAAAGACACAAAGUGUGUGGUUCUAUUGAUAUAGUAAUGGUAUCAGAACACUCCUGGGGUG